rnacentral:lncRNA from 1 species
AGCCCCUCUGAAUGCUGUUUCAAUGCUGCUUCACGCCAAAGGAGGAGGCACCUUUUCUCAUUUAAAUUCCUUAGCUCUAUAGACUUCUGGGGCAGAGGCCUGCUUUAAAAAUGGCAGGUGAAAUGUGAGGCAUGAAAAUAAUAUUGUAGAAACUUCUCCCUUGAUACUGUCUGAUUACACAUCAAAAUACAAGAAAAAGUAUUUUUGUGGAAAGAACACUAAAGAGUCAGAAAAGUUCCAGUUUUGCUUAUUGCUGUGCAACCUUGGGAAAGUCAUUUAUCUUCCCUGAGCUCUUAACAUUCCCAUGGGUAAAAUGGGAACACUUCAGAAAGGUUUUGUGGGGAUGAAACAAGCAGGAAAGCACUCAGCAAACUGCAUGCAGAUGGUAGGCCCCAGGCUACACGUGGCCCCAGGAGGUUCUCUGGGAAAUCGCUGCAAGGUUCCAACGCUCACUUCCCCCGCGAGCCCGACGCCUGCCUCCGCAGGGCGAGUGCCGCCGGGCCCCCCGCGGGCUGGGGCUCAGCCGCGACAGCGCCGCCCCCG